rnacentral:sRNA from 1 species
GCAGUCGCAAAAAACGACUGCCGAGCCUCGAAACUCGACUUAUUUACAAUUGGCGCAGAGCACGCCUAAAGCGUGUUUUUU